GAGUUUGAUCGUGGCUCAGAUUGAACGCUGGCGGCAGGCCUAACACAUGCAAGUCGAGCGGAUGAAGGGAGCUUGCUCCUGGAUUCAGCGGUGGACGGGUGAGUAAUGCCUAGGAAUCUGCCUGGUAGUGGGGAUAACGUCCGGAAACGGGCGCUAAUACCGCAUACGUCCUGAGGGAGAAAGUGGGGGAUCUUCGGACCUCACGCUAUCAGAUGAGCCUAGGUCGGAUUAGCUAGUUGGUGGGUAAAGGCCUACCAAGGCGACGAUCCGUAACUGGUCUGAGAGGAUGAUCAGUCACACUGGAACUGAGACACGGUCCAGACUCCUACGGGAGGCAGCAGUGGGGAAUAUUGGACAAUGGGCGAAAGCCUGAUCCAGCCAUGCCGCGUGUGUGAAGAAGGUCUUCGGAUUGUAAAGCACUUUAAAGUUGGGAGGAAGGGCAGUAAGUUAAUACCUUGCUGUUUUGACGUUACCAACAGAAUAAGCACCGGCUAACUUCGUGCCAGCAGCCGCCGU
rnacentral:rRNA from 1 species